rnacentral:rRNA from 1 species
UACGUAGGUGGCAAGCGUUGUCCGGAAUUAUUGGGCGUAAAGGGCGCGUAGGCGGUCUUUUAAGUCAGAUGUGAAACCCCUGGGCUUAACCCGGGACUGGCAUUUGAAACUGGGGGACUUGAGUGCAGGAGAGGAAAGCGGAAUUCCUAGUGUAGCGGUGAAAUGCGUAGAUAUUAGGAGGAACACCAGUGGCGGAGGCGGCUUUCUGGACUGUAACUGACGCUGAGGCGCGAAAGCGUGGGGAG